rnacentral:ncRNA from 2 species
UUCUUAUCCAGAGAGGUGGAGGGAACGGCCCUUUGAAACCUCGGCAACAGGCUUCCAUGUAAAGCACUGUGCCAACUCCUUCAAGCAACCAAGCUUGAAAAGAUAAGAA